UACAGAGGUCCCAAGCGUUGUUCGGAUUCACUGGGCGUAAAGGGUGCGUAGGUGGUUGGGCAAGUCUGAUGUGAAAUCUCCGGGCUUAACCCGGAAAUGGCAUUGGAAACUGCCUGGCUAGAGUGUUGGAGGGGGGACUGGAAUUCUCGGUGUAGCAGUGAAAUGCGUAGAUAUCGAGAGGAACACCAGUGGCGAAGGCGAGUCCCUGGACAACGACUGACACUGAGGCACGAAAGCUAGGGGAGCAAACGGG
rnacentral:rRNA from 1 species